GGGAGGGAGGGAGGAAGAGAGAGCAAGGGAGAGAGAGCGAGAGAGAGGGGGAAAGGGAGAGGAGAGAGCGUGUGUGAGACAUUCACAUUUAGUCCUGCCCGUGUGCAGCCGCACCGCACUGCUCCUCCGCUGUGGAACAAGGGAUGUGGACGAGGAUGAGUCCGUGGACGGAAGAACGGAUUGCACUCUGAAGAAGAGAGACGUAAAGAGAGAAAGAGAGGGAAAGAGCCAAUGGGAAUGGAAUAAAAAUGCUUCUCCUUCUGUUGGGUCGUCCUCUUUCAUCCAGUCUCGUUUGCUUUGAGAGGAAAACUUCCCAGGCAGAGAGACAGAGAAAACACACACAUAUUGCGAUAUAUCUAUAAAAUUCCUAUACAUAUAUCAAUAUAUGCCUGGCUUUGGGAAUGAAGGAUCUCGACCGGGGAAACCUGCUCGCACACGAACUUCCAUUCUCUUGCUAAAAGUAAGCGAACACAGCCACACAAAAACACUCUCCUCAACAGGUAAACGAAAGGGGAAAGCUAAAGUACACUAUGCAUGGGCAGACGGGAGCCUUCGGAAGCUUCUGGAGGGAACGCCACCAACGAGCAAGUGGGAAAGGAAUCAUCAUGACCAGUGGAUUAUGCCAUUUUCCCAGCGCUUUGGAUCUGUCCUGUCUGAGCGCCGACCCAGUGUUGGUGGGAUGGUUAUCCACAUGAGAUGGCUUCACACACACACACACACACACUCUGAGUUUAUCCACAUGAGAUGUCCUCACACACACACACACACACUCUGAGCUUCGUCUUCACUCCUUCGAGGUCCCGAGUCGGCCGUGCCACAUGAGACGUCUUCACCGAGAGGCAACUCGACAGGGAAGAGUGUGCCAGCUCUGAGUUUCAUCGUCUUCGUCACUACUCCGAGGU